rfam:Bacillus sp. FJAT-25509 scaffold1, whole genome shotgun sequence.
AUUAUCGCGAGGUAUUGUCUGAAGGAGAUGCGGUAAAUUGAGAGACCCGUAGACGAAAAGAUAGACCCUAAUGCAAGAAGUGUGAAGCACGGCGGCGGAGUAAGUUGGCGACUUUUCGAAAAGUGAGGAAGCCCACUAAAAUGGCAUUUUCUUUAGAAGUCAGAACGAGGAAAUGUGACUUAUAACGUGAUGGUGCAGGGUAUGUCUUGAAGGAAAAUGCG